CCAUGCAAGUCGAACGGCAGCACAGGACAGCUUGCUCUCUGGGUGGCGAGUGGCGGACGGGUGAGGAAUACAUCGGAAUCUACUCUGUCGUGGGGGAUAACGUAGGGAAACUUACGCUAAUACCGCACACCACCUACGGGUGAAAGCAGGGGACCUUCGGGCCUUGCGCGAUUGAAUGAGCCGAUGUCGGAUUAUCUAGUUGGCGGGGUAAAGGCCCACCAAGGCGACGAUCCGUACCUGGUCUGAGAGGAUGAUCAGCCACACUGGAACUGAGACACGGUCCAGACUCCUACGGGAGGCAGCAAUGGGGAAUAUUGGACAAUGGGCGCAAGCCUGAUCCAGCCAUACCGCGUGGGUGAAGAAGGCCUUCGGGUUGUAAAGCCCUUUUGUUGAGAAAGAAAUCCAGCUGGCUAAUACCCGGUUGGGAUGACGGUACCCAAAGAAUAAGCACCGGCUAACUUCGUGCCAGCAGCCGCGGUAAUACGAAGGGUGCAAGCGUUACUCGGAAUUACUGGGCGUAAAGCGUGCGUACGUGGUUAUUUAAGUCCGUUGUGAAAGCCCUGGGCUCAACCUGGGAACUGCAGUGGAUACUGGAUGACUAGAAUGUGGUAGAGGGUAGCGGAAUUCCUGGUGUAGCAGUGAAAUGCGUAGAGAUCAAGAGGAACAUCCAUGGCGAAGGCAGCUACCUGGACCAACAUUGACACUGAGGCACGAAAGCGUGGGGAGCAAACAGGAUUAGUUACCU
rnacentral:rRNA from 1 species